rnacentral:rRNA from 1 species
AUUAACGCUGGCGGCGUGCAUGAGACAUGCAAGUCGAACGGACGGGCGAGCUUGCUCGCCCGUUAGUGGCGGACGGCUGAGUAACGCGUGGGUGACCUGCCCCGAAGUGGGGAAUAACUGCCCGAAAGGGUGGCUAAUACCGCAUGUGGUGACUGGUUCGUUCCAGUCUCCAAAGCCGCAAGGCGCUUCGGGAGGGGCCUGCGUCCGAUUAGCUCGUUGGUGGGUAACGGCUCACCAAGGCGACGAUCGGUAGGUG